rnacentral:rRNA from 1 species
UACAGAGGGUGCAAACGUUGCUCGGAAUUACUGGGCGUAAAGCGCGUGUAGGCGGACUUGUAAGCCAAGCGUGAAAUCCUCGGGCUCAACCUGAGGGCUGCUCUUGGAACUGCUUGUCUUGAGUAUUGGAGAGGGUCGCGGAAUGGGUGGUGUAGAGGUGAAAUUUGUAGAUAUCACUCGGAACAUCGGUGGCGAAGGCGGCGACCUGGACAAUGACUGACGCUGAGACGCGAAAGUGUGGGUAGCAAACAGG